AAGAGCUCGUAGGUGGUUUGUCGCGUUGUUCGUGAAAUCUCACGGCUUAACUGUGAGCGUGCGGGCGAUACGGGCAGACUUGAGUACUGCAGGGGAGACUGGAAUUCCUGGUGUAGCGGUGGAAUGCGCAGAUAUCAGGAGGAACACCGGUGGCGAAGGCGGGUCUCUGGGCAGUAACUGACGCUGAGGAGCGAAAGCGUGGGGAGCGAACAGGAUUAGAUACCCUGGUAGUCCACGCCGUAAACGGUGGGUACUAGGUGUGGGUUUCCUUCCUUGGGAUCCGUGCCGUAGCUAACGCAUUAAGUACCCCGCCUGGGGAGUACGGCCGCAAGGCUAAAACUCGAAGAAAUUGACGGGGGCCCGCACAAGCGGCGGAGCAUGUGGAUUAAUUCGAUGCAACGCGUAGAACCUUACCUGGGUUUGACAUGCACAGGACGCCGGCAGAGAUGUCGGUUCCCUUGUGGCCUGUGUGCAGGUGGUGCAUGGCUGUCGUCAGCUCGUGUCGUGAGAUGUUGCGUUAAGUCCCGCAACGAGCGCAACCCUUGUCUCAUGUUGCCAGCGGGUAAUGCCGGGGACUCGUGAGAGACUGCCGGGGUCAACUCGGAGGAAGGUGGGGAUGACGUCAAGUCAUCAUGCCCCUUAUGUCCAGGGCUUCACACAUGCUACAAUGGCCGGUACAAAGGGCUGCGAUGCCGCGAGGUUAAGCGAAUCCUUUUAAAGCCGGUCUCAGUUCGGAUCGGGGUCUGCAACUCGACCCCGUGAAGUCGGAGUCGCUA
rnacentral:rRNA from 1 species